UUAGACUUGCUUAUCUCAUCCAACUCCUUGGACUGUAAAUCAUCAAACCUGUGCCUGCUCCUGAAUUCUUCCUCAUAUAAUUUCUGAUAAAAGCCUUUUACUUCCUCCCUCAUGCUUUUAUUUCCCUUUAUGCUUCUAUCUUCUAUUUUCAACUCUUCCGCAUAAUUGUGUCUUCCUCUAUAGUUGGUCAAACAGUGAAAAUAUCUUGUGUUCCUGUCGCCUUCUUUAAGCCAUCUUUGCUCUAACCUUUUGUCUCAAGACACCUCCUCCAUAAGUAACCUAUUAGCUAUUUCCAUUCCCAAAAUUUCUCUUUUUUCCCCUUCG
rnacentral:lncRNA from 1 species